rnacentral:piRNA from 1 species
UUGCUUGACUGGACCCAGCCUUGUGA